AUUGAACGCUGGCGGCAGGCCUAACACAUGCAAGUCGAACGAGUGGCGGACGGGUGAGUAAUGUCUGGGAAACUGCCCGAUGGAGGGGGAUAACUACUGGAAACGGUAGCUAAACCGCAUACCAAUGGAAGUGCCCAGAUGGGUUUAGCUGGUGGGGGGGGUAAAGGCUAACCAGGGCGACGACCCCUAGCUGGUCUGAGAGGAGGACCAGCCACACUGGAACUGAGACACGGUCCAGACUCCUACGGGAGGCAGCAGUGGGGAAUAUUGCACAAUGGGCGCAAGCCUGAUGCAGCCAUGCCGCGUGGAUGAAGAAGGCCUUCGGGUUGUAAAGUACUUUCAGCGGGGAGGCGUUACCCGCAGAAGAAGCACCGGCUAACUCCGUGCCAGCAGCCGCGGUAAUAC
rnacentral:rRNA from 1 species